rnacentral:rRNA from 1 species
UACGUAGGGCGCAAGCGUUAUCCGGAAUUAUUGGGCGUAAAGAGCUCGUAGGCGGUUUGUUGCGUCGGCUGUGAAAUCCCGAGGCUCAACCUCGGGUCUGCAGUCGAUACGAGCAAACUAGAGUGUUGCAGGGGAGACUGGAAUUCCUGGUGUAGCGGUGAAAUGCGCAGAUAUCAGGAGGAACACCAAUUGCGAAGGCAGCUCGCUGGGACGUGACUGACGCUGAGACGCGAAAGCGUGGGGAGCAAACAGG